AAUCAUGUCAUUUUAAAUAGAACUUCCUUGGACACUGAAAAAAAAUUUUUUUAACUUAAAGAAAAAAUCAUUAUGGUCCCAGCAGUAAUAAUGUCAGUCAACCACUUCUCACCAAUUCAUUUCAAAAUUGGUUCUUAAAUAUUUGUUAUUAUGUUCACAGGUUUUGCAGACACUAUACACAUUGCGUAUCCUACUUUGGAAUUACAGUCUUUCCUAUAGGAUCUGCAUAUAAGUAGAUGAGAAAAUAAGCACAGAGCACUUAAGAUGAUUAAGUCACUAUGAAGCGGUGGUAGAAACAGAAGAGAGACACAGGACAGAGCUCUUAAAAAGGGCUUGGUAUGUCAUAGUUAUUAUUAUAUAAUCUACAUGUCUCCAGCAGCCUGGAAAUAGCAAAGAAGAGGAAGAGGAGAAAAUUUGUCAAAUCACCUGUGUCAAUUUUUAAUGUAGAUAACAGAGUUACUACAAACGUACAAGCACAAACACAAGUACUAGUGCUUUCUAGGUUUGUUAGGAAGGGUUGCUGUGAUGGGGAAAGAGGCUUGGACAUGGUGUAAAUCUGGUUUUGUGUUUCUUCACGGCCAUUCAUAAGACAGACUUAUAAUAACCACUCUAAGGAAACACAACAAGAAAAUCUACACUUCAAAAUCAUUUGAUGUCAUUAGAACGAUGUCAAGUUCAAAGGCGAACCAGACAUGGAUGUCACCCUAAGGCCAGCCUCACAGGCCAGGAGAAGCACACUCACCCCGAGGCUUGUUCCACCACCAGGUCAGGCAUGCCCGGAGGUGUCCCCGCCGGCUGUGACACCACCAUAUCUGGGUCCAGAAUAAAAAUCUCAUCUUGGGAAAUCUCCAUCACAAAGUGCAAAUGUUCCUAAAGAAGAACAAGAAGUCUGUUGCAUGAAGAAUAACAAAACAAGUAUUCUUGGUCUCGAGGAAUAAUGAAAUUCUGCAACGUGUCAAAGGAUCACACUGUGUUGUCAGAAGCUUGAUCAGUUGGUGAUCCUCCCCAAAGCUGCGCUAACGCAGACAGUGGGAGAUAGGGAGAGAUGAAUCCCCUUGGUUCAGGAUUUCCAAUUAACCAGGACUUUUUCUUAGAUAUAUCUAGAAAUGGUCUUGCCUCAUCUUCUUCCCAAAUACUAUUAGAGAAGUGACACCCACAUACAAUUGGCCCAGCAGGAGUGUAUGGUAAGUGGACUUCUACCCCGUCAUCUGGUCAAAGCUAAGCAGCAUGGUUAACAACUUUAUCAUUAGGUUCAAUACUGUACAUUUUUCUCCUAGGAGAAUUCAGAUAAUGGGAGGAAUUCUUAACUUGGGCAAAACCAUUUUUUUUUUCUCAUCACUGACCUCCAGGGAUUGGCGAACUGAAACUAAGUAGUCUAGUUAUACACCUGGGGCCUCAAACUUGCUAAACAGAAAUGAGCUUAAAAAGACAUGAAAUUUGGCUAAAAAGGAGUAAAAAUAUCUUUGUGAAUGAAAAUUUGGAGUACAGGCUGGUGAUAAUGUCUACAAGUCAACUUAUUUUCUGUACUCAUUUGCAAGAUUAAGCCACAUCAUCUUGAGUCCAUAAAUCAUAAAACACG
rnacentral:lncRNA from 1 species